UUCUUUCAUGGGGAAGCAAAUUUAAGUACCACCUAAGUAUUGGCUUAUUCAUUACAACCACUAUGUAUUUCGUACAUUACUGCUAGCCACCAUGAAUAUUGUACA
rnacentral:ncRNA from 13 species